AUUGAACGCUGGCGGCAUGCCUUACACAUGCAAGUCGAACGGUAACAGGUUAAGCUGACGAGCGGCGAACGGGUGAGUAAUGUAUCGGAACGUGCCCAGUCGUGGGGGAUAACUGCUCGAAAGAGCAGCUAAUACCGCAUACGACCUGAGGGUGAAAGCGGGGGAUCGCAAGACCUCGCGCGAUUGGAGCGGCCGAUAUCAGAUUAGGUAGUUGGUGGGGUAAAAGCCCACCAAGCCAACGAUCUGUAGCUGGUCUGAGAGGACGACCAGCCACACUGGGACGGAGACACGGCCCAGACUCCUACGUGAGGCAGCAGUGGGGAAUUUUGGACAAUGGACGCAAGUCUGAUCCAGCCAUGCCGCGUGCGGGAAGAAGGCCUUCGGGUUGUAAACCGCUUUUGUCAGGGAAGAAAAGGUUCUGGUUAAUACCUGGGACUCAUGACGGUACCUGAAGAAUAAGCACCGGCUAACUACGUGCCAGCAGCCGCCGUAAUAC
rnacentral:rRNA from 1 species